CGUAGGGGGCAAGCGUUGUCCGGAUUUAUUGGGCGUAAAGAGCGUGUAGGCGGCUAGGUAGGUGGGUUGUGAAAACUGGAGGCUCAACCUUCAGACGUCGACCCAAACCCCCUAGCUAGAGUCCGGAAGAGGAGAGUGGAAUUCCUGGUGUAGCGGUGAAAUGCGCAGAUAUCAGGAAGAACACCCGUGGCGAAGGCGGCUCUCUGGGACGGUACUGACGCUGAGACGCGAAAGCGUGGGGAGCGAACAGGAUUAGAUACCCUGGUAGUCCACGCCGUAAACGAUGGGUGCUAGGUGCGGGGGGUGUCGACUCCCUCCGUGCCGAAGCUAACGCAUUAAGCACCCCGCCUGGGGAGUACGGCCGCAAGGCUA
rnacentral:rRNA from 1 species